GGGGCGGGGGGGGGGAGGCACUCAGGUUACCAAUCCUGGAGUCUCCAGUCCUCAAGGAAUAUUGAAAGCAAUGCUGGUGGUUUAGAAGAUAGAUAUUGUGAAAAAUAUUGGAACAAAUAUUGGAAAAGACAUUUUUCAGGAAUACCUUCCAUUAGCGCUGUCAGCCCUACUGGCCACGUCUGCUCAGGCUGGUGUCUCUUUGGGGGCUGCAGGAUGUGGUUCUGUUGUUCCACAAAAUAGGGAAUCAGCUAUGAUGUUUGUAUCCUGUCUUUUUCUGCAAGGAAAGAGCAGAUGGCGUUCCAAGGCAGUCUCCCACCAGAGCAUCCUGGUCAAGGUGUCACAAAUGGAAUGGCCAAUAUUAACUGCAGAAACAGGAAACAGACUACAUGGAACACCAGAUCCUUAUCAAAUGGACAACUCAGAAAUCUGGCUUAGGAAAGUUAUCUGAGUAGCAACAGCUUUUAUGAAGUGUGGAGAAAGGGAUGUCAAGACCUCAGCUAAAGUAAAGAAAGCACUA